rnacentral:lncRNA from 1 species
UGUUGUGAAAAUUUUAAUAUACUCGCAAGCGCACGAAUCUAGAAAUAGAGAAGUGGUAACGAGGUCGAUCCCACAGGGAUUGUUAUAAAUUGAAAAGUCUAAUUUAAAUCUAAAAUUAAUAUUAAUUCUAACCUAGUUGAGCAAUUUGAGUUUUAAGAGAAAUUAAACUAAUUAAACUAAGAAAACAAUUAAAGCAAAUGAGAAAUCAAUAAGACAAAUUACCAAGGUUUUAGAAUCCACCACUAUUCAACUAGUAAUUAUCUAAUUAUUAAUUAAUCCCCAAUUUUAGAGUGACAACUCGAAAUCAAUCUAUGUCAUCUCAUGGAUAUAACAAUUAAGCCCAAAUAAAAUUAAUCUUAUGUAGGUUCUUUUUCUGCUUAAUAAUAUGACAUCUAAGCAUCCCAUGUAAACAUAUUGAAUAACAAAGAGUCAAAGUUUUCCUAAGCACUCUAUGUAAACAAUUUAAUGAAAGACAUAAAAUCAAAGAUAGUCAUGUAUAAACUUUAUAAAUCCAAGCAUAGAUUUAAUCGAAUAUUAAUCCUAACAAUCAAUAAUGCAUGACAGAAUUGAUGAAAAGAUUUUAUUAACAUCCAAUUAAUCAUGUGAGAUAAAAACCAUAAUCAUCAAAGAACAUAUAUAGGGAAUUAAUUAAAUAAAAAGAGAUAAUUAUUUCAUUAAAUAGGGUUUCAUCCUUAACCUCAGUAUAAGAAAAUUAGCUAGACAUACUUGAAUUGUGAGCAACAAAAGAAAUAAAAUCAGCCAUGGAAGCUGAAAUAUUGCUGCUGCCGAUUGAUCUCUUCCAGCCUUUUGUUUCUGUCCUCUGGCGGCUCCUCUCCUCCAAAAGCCAAGAGUUUAGCUUUCUUAUAUAGCCUUUAAAAUGGACCCCACCUUGCCAAUCCUAAAGCAAAAAGGGUUUGGCCUUUUAUUUGUUUUGCUUCACUCACGUGGCCACUUUGAAUUGUAAUAGGUUUCCUUCUUCCAUUUAUGAAAGCCACGUGGGGUCCCUUCUUAAAGCUAAAAUCAAUUUCUAUCUUUUGUCCGCAUGUGCAUGGGUAGAUGAAUUUGUUGAAUUCGGUUUCCUUGGCUUGAUUUCCACAUGCAUGUAUGUCUAAUUCCUUCCAAAAAUCAAUUAAUCUUUAAUGCUCACAAAUUGAACUCUUUUAUACUCUUUUUAUCCAUAAUCUCCAAUUAAUUCCCUAUUCAAUAAAACAAUUCAAUUAAUUAAAAAUAACAAAUAAAUAUAACUAGCAAUUAUUUAAUUAAUGGUAAAAUAUGUAUGUAUUAUAUGCUCAUCAAAUACCCCCAAACUUAGAUUUUGCUAGUCCUCGAGCAAAACUAAAACUAAAAACGAAAACAAAAAGUAAAUCCUAACUAAACCACUUUCGCAGGUGAUCGCGAUUGUAUUUAGCGUAUGCAACAAGCCUUUAAACCCCUAGGCGGCCCUAGUGGACGAGUUAUAGUCUCGUGAGGGCUUCAGUGAUGAUACCCACAAACAUCAUUUUUCAAAGAAUUAAAAUAAAAAUAAAAUGAAAAGAACAACAAGCUUUAAACAAAACAUGAAGAUAGCCUCAAAGAUUGCAUAAAUUAUAUAGCUCAAAGAAAAUUUCAAAUAUUGACAAAGUUCUAACUUUAAUUCAAUAGUCAAUCUCAUCUCUCUUUCAAUUCUUGUAGUGUGUGUGUGAAAUCAAUUCAAUCAAAUCAAUUCCCAAAAUCUUCAACAUCAACAGUCUUCGCCUCAAACAAAGAACAGAGUAGGUCAAACUAAUCUUAUCAUCUUGAUCUCCAAUUUUGUUUUUUUUUUUCACAGGCUUUUAUGUGCAUUUUCUUUUGAUUUUUUUUUUCAGCACAUGCACUUAAUUUGAUUUUUCUUUUUCUCUUUUUUUUUUCUUCUUUUUUUUUUUUUUUUUUUUUUUUAACCAUAGUCAGGAGCUUUCACUCUACCCCUUAAGGUAGCCUUCUUCUCAUGGUAGAUUAUCCUCUACAUACUUGUGGUACAUAGGCCCAAAUUACUCAAGGAUAGCUUCACUCUUAAGGGUUAUAGGUAGCUAUUUCUGACUUUGGCGCCCGUGUAUACUAUUUUGUAUUGUGGAGAUAAGAAUCAAGACAAACAGUCAUUUACUCUAUCUAAAAUUCUCAACUCAGGCUGCGUCAAUCGCAAAUUUCAAGUCAAAAUUAUGAAAGAAUUGAUAUUAGUGCUCAUAGUUUAAAGAAUCUCAAUCAAGAGGAACUAACACAAGAAUCAAGUAUAAACUAAGACAAUAUUCAACCCUUUUUAAGAACCAUAUUCAUUGUCAAUCAAAUUCUUAUCAUUGGCUUUUCACAUAAAAACAAAAAAACAACAAUUUAUUUUUUUUUUGAAUUUUUGAAUUUUUUGAAUUUUUUUUUUUGGUUUGUUUUUUUUUUUUUAACAAACAAAGCACACACUAUUCCCACCCCCAAACUUAUUCAGAACAUUGUCCUCAAUGUUUCACAAACAAAAUAUAUGCAUGCAAACAAAUGAAAGAAAGAAAUAAUAAUAAUAAUAAUAAUAAUAAAACAUAAAUAAUAAAAAGAAAGUUGGAGAGAACACACCUGGAUGGGCUGGGAAAGCUUUAAAAAAAAUGACAACUAAAAGAAAAUGUUAGAAGAAAUAUAAAUAAAAAAAUAAAAAAAAUAAAAUAAAAAAAAUCCUACUAACUAACUAAUUAAUGUAAACAACAAAUCAACCAGGAUCAAUAAGAAUUUGGUGAAAAGCAAAGCAAUUAUAUAGAAAAUGCCAGAAAACAUAAUUGACUAAGCACUGGAGCAUUUUAUCUAUAAAAGGAUGAUGGUAAUGAAACUUCUCAAUAUCGCACUGCCUUGAUCUCUUCUGUUCCAUGCUUUCCUGAGAGUUAUCUGAAGUAGUAUAAAAAUCUAAUAAUUUAAGCACUUUAGAUCUUACCACCUUUUUCAUGUCAGAAUGUGACCUAUGUUGCACUUUUUUAGGAAGUAAAUCCAACUUGAAUGGUUUAAUUUUCUCUUCAGGAGGAAGUGGCUCAAUCUUUUCUUUCCACUUAAUUAGAUCUAUGAUAAGAGUCGAAUCAAGUAAAGCACUAACUUCUUCAAUACCACUAUCAACAUCAACAGAGAAAUCAGAGUCAGUUGUGCAUGGUAUUAAUGUAUUGUCACAGUGGUUAGGAAUAAAUGAGUCAUCAAUUGAUGCUUCUAUCAUAUCUACUUCAACGACUUCAUCAUCUUCUUGUGCCUGCUUGGGAACAUUAAAAAUGUUUAAUUCCAUAGUCAUAUUACCAAAAGACAAUUGCAUGUUUCCAGUCCUGCAACUAAUAUGAGCAUCAGCUGUAGCUAAGAAAGGACGACCUAGAAUAACUGGGGUGUGUUUCUUAGGAUCCUGUACAUGCUGAGUAUCAAUAACAAUAAAAUCAACAGGAUAAUAAAAUUUGUCAAUUUGUAUCAACACAUCCUCUAUAAUACCACGAGGUAUUUUCAUUGACCUAUCAGCAAGUUGCAAAAUAAUAGGAGUUGAUUUUAAUUCCCCUAGUCCAAGUUGCAUGUAAACAGAAUAAGGCAAGAUAUUAACACUAGCACCUAAAUCCAAUAAUGCUUUAUCAAAACAUUGGUUCCCUAUAACACAUGAGAUAGUAGGAGAACCAGGAUCCUUAAAUUUUGGUGGCAUUUUACAUUGAAGUAAAUUGCUAGUUUGUUCAGUUAAAAACGCUUUUUUAGUGACAUGUAAAUUUCUCUUUUUAGUGCAUAAAUCUUUCAAAAACUUGGCAUAGGAAGGAACUUGCUUAAUAGCAUCGAGUAAAGGGAUGUUUAUACUUACCUGUUUGAAGAUUUCCAUAAUCUCACCUGUUGAAGUCCCUUUAUUUACCUUUGUUAACCUUUGAGGAAAAGGAGCCUUGGGAAUGUAAGCUGGCGGGCCACUCUCUUCUGGAUCAUUUGGUGAUGAGUCUUGUGAUGGAACUGGGUUUGAAGAAGUAGGCUCAUAUGUCUUCCUUGUUGAAACCUCCACCUUGUUGUCAAAUAAUUUUCCUCUUCUCAAGGUCAUAACAGAUUUUGCUUCUUCAUGCUGAUGGCUUGAACUCGAUCCAACUUCAUGCACUCCUUUAGGAUUGGGAAUUGGUUGACUUGGAAAUUUUCCUUUUUCUCUUUCUGCUACAGUAGUUGCUAAUUGACCCAAUUGAUGUUCAAGCUUUAGAAUAGCUUGAGUGUUUGACUGAAAGGCUUGUUGGGUUGACUGAAUGAAACUUUGAAGUGUAUCCUCUAAAGAAGGCUUUCUUUGUUGGGGUGCAACAAAUUGAGAUAUAGGCUGUUGAGUAGGAGGAUAUACUUGGUUAGGAGGAACAAAUUGUUGAUUGGGCAAGCUAAAUUGUUGUCCUCCUAGGUUUGACAAAGGUUGAUUUUGUUUCCAAGAAAAAUUAGGGUGAUUCCUCCAAUUAGGAUUAUAUGUGGAUGAAUAUGGACUAUUGGAGAUUUUUUCAUAUGAUUGUAAGGCAUGUACCUGCUCAGAAUAAGCCUCUGGAUAGACUGGUAAUGAUGGACAAUUCUGUGCUGUAUGAGACAAGUUAGAACAAAUAGCACAAACCUCAUUAGCUACACUAGGAUGAUGAUUCAUGGAUUGGUUUAGAGAUAAGGCAUCUACUUUCCUAGAAAGCGUAGCUAGAGUGGUUUUCACAUCAAAUUCAUCCUUAACUUCGUAUAACCCCUUUCUAGAAACUUGAGAUGAUUUUUCCCUUUGGUUUGAAAAAUCCCACUGUUGAGAAUUCUCAGAAAGUGAAUUAAAGAAAUCCCAUGCAGCCCUUUCAUGUAAGUUCAAAAAUCUCCCACCAUUCAUAGACUCUACCAUAUGACGAUUCGACAUGGUUAAACCGUUAUAAAAGCAUUGUAUAAGUCUCCAUUUCUCAAAACCAUGGUGGGGGCACUUAAGGAGUAAAUCAUUAAAUCUUUCCCAACACUCAUAAAAUUGCUCACCCUCUCUUUGAUAAAAAUCAUUUAUCUCUCUCCUAAGGGCAUUUGUUUUAGACAUAGGGAAAAACUUGGUGAGGAACUUAUUACUUAAUUCAUCCCACGUAGUAAUAGACCCAGCAGGAAGUGAAUUCAACCAAGCUUUCGCUUUGUCUUUUAAUGAGAAAGGGAACAUACGAAGCCUGAUUGACUCAUCAUUAAAAUUUUGAAAACGAAAUGUAGAGCAUAUGUCAAGAAAUUCCUUAAUGUGCAAAUAUGGAUCCUCUCUCUCUAACCCAUGGAAAGAUGGUAAAAGUUGAAUGACUGAGGGCUUAAGUUCAAAGUGUGUUGCUGUGGUUUGUGGCAACACAAUACAAGAUGGUUGGUUGGCUGCAAGUGGUGAAAAAUAUUCUCUAAGGGUUUUCUCUGCUUGCACUGGUGGUAGCAUUGGCAAUAAUCUAUUUGGGUCAUCCAUGACUUCUAAAGAACUAGCUUGAUUACUAUCAAUUUUCAACUCUUUUUUAACCAAACGAUUUGUUGAAUCACGUUCCCAAACACUCAUAAACUAACUAGACAAGAAAAGAGAAAAAUAAAAUAAAAUAAAAUAAACCAACAAUAAUGAGAAUAAACGAAAUUUAAAAAGAAAUCAAACAACCAAACAAUGAAUUUAAGGACAAAUAAUAAUUAUUUUUUUUGUGUUUUUUUUUUAAUAAAAAAUAAAAAUAAAAGACAACCUAAAUUAUAACUAGUGGAAGAAUCAAAUCAACCUAGAUUAAACUGACUUUCUAGCACAAUCCCCGGCAACGGCGCCAAAAACUUGUUGUGAAAAUUUUAAUAUACUCGCAAGCGCACGAAUCUAGAAAUAGAGAAGUGGUAACGAGGUCGAUCCCACAGGGAUUGUUAUAAAUUGAAAAGUCUAAUUUAAAUCUAAAAUUAAUAUUAAUUCUAACCUAGUUGAGCAAUUUGAGUUUUAAGAGAAAUUAAACUAAUUAAACUAAGAAAACAAUUAAAGCAAAUGAGAAAUCAAUAAGACAAAUUACCAAGGUUUUAGAAUCCACCACUAUUCAACUAGUAAUUAUCUAAUUAUUAAUUAAUCCCCAAUUUUAGAGUGACAACUCGAAAUCAAUCUAUGUCAUCUCAUGGAUAUAACAAUUAAGCCCAAAUAAAAUUAAUCUUAUGUAGGUUCUUUUUCUGCUUAAUAAUAUGACAUCUAAGCAUCCCAUGUAAACAUAUUGAAUAACAAAGAGUCAAAGUUUUCCUAAGCACUCUAUGUAAACAAUUUAAUGAAAGACAUAAAAUCAAAGAUAGUCAUGUAUAAACUUUAUAAAUCCAAGCAUAGAUUUAAUCGAAUAUUAAUCCUAACAAUCAAUAAUGCAUGACAGAAUUGAUGAAAAGAUUUUAUUAACAUCCAAUUAAUCAUGUGAGAUAAAAACCAUAAUCAUCAAAGAACAUAUAUAGGGAAUUAAUUAAAUAAAAAGAGAUAAUUAUUUCAUUAAAUAGGGUUUCAUCCUUAACCUCAGUAUAAGAAAAUUAGCUAGACAUACUUGAAUUGUGAGCAACAAAAGAAAUAAAAUCAGCCAUGGAAGCUGAAAUAUUGCUGCUGCCGAUUGAUCUCUUCCAGCCUUUUGUUUCUGUCCUCUGGCGGCUCCUCUCCUCCAAAAGCCAAGAGUUUAGCUUUCUUAUAUAGCCUUUAAAAUGGACCCCACCUUGCCAAUCCUAAAGCAAAAAGGGUUUGGCCUUUUAUUUGUUUUGCUUCACUCACGUGGCCACUUUGAAUUGUAAUAGGUUUCCUUCUUCCAUUUAUGAAAGCCACGUGGGGUCCCUUCUUAAAGCUAAAAUCAAUUUCUAUCUUUUGUCCGCAUGUGCAUGGGUAGAUGAAUUUGUUGAAUUCGG